CAAGAAAUUUUUAAAUUAUUAA
rnacentral:tRNA from 1 species